GUGCCCACUUCAGCAAAACUUACGCUGCAAUUGGAACGACACAGGGAUGAUUAGCAGGGACCCUGCGCAAGGAUGACAUGCAAAUUUGUGAAGCUUCCUAUAUUUUU